UUGCCCUGGUCCGGUCCGGGCGCGCCCAUGUCGAUGACGAAGCGGAAGAACGCGUCGUUGACAGUGCCGGGUCCGGUGCCGGGCGGA
rnacentral:sRNA from 1 species